rnacentral:rRNA from 1 species
GAUGAACGCUGGCGGCGUGCCUAACACAUGCAAGUCGAACGAACGGACGAUAAGCUUGUUCUCUUGAUGUUAGCGGCUGGCGGGUGAGUAACGCGUGGAUCACCUACUUAUAUUUCGGGGAGGAUUUCGUGAGACAGGCGCUAAUACCGCAUAAUAUUUUGAACCGCAUGGUGCAAAAGAGAAUCACGGCUUUGGUGUCUCUAUUAGCUGGUUCCGCGCUGCAUUAGCUAGUUGGUAAGGUAACGGCCUACCAAGGCUACGUUGCAUAUCCGAGCUGAGAGGAUGAUCGGCCACACUGGAACUGAGACACGGUCCAGACUCCUACGGGAGGCAGCAGUAGGGAAUCUUCGGCAAUGGGCGCAAGCCUGACGCAGCCACGCCGCGUGAGUGAAGAAGGUCUUCGGAUCGUAAAGCCCUGUUAUUGGGGAAGAAAAGCUGUGGAAUUAAACGUCGACAUCCUGACGGUACCUAAUCAAAAAGCCCCGGCUAACUACGUG